AGGGCGGAAUGCCUGCAGGCAGCUGCCCAGGAACCUGCAGCUCACCGGUGGGCACGGGCGUUCCGCCAGCUUGUCACAUAGGGUCACUCGGGCGUGCAGGUAGAGUGUAUCGCUGUUUAAGAAGCGGAACAGUUUGAAGGCUAUCGUCACCUGGAGUGAGGCCCCGUUGGAUUGUAGACCAUGGAGCAGCCGGCUGGGGACUGGGCAGCUGUGGGGAGAGGCAGCGACACCGACUGGUUAGCGAGCCCGGUGUUGCGAAAGCACCAACGAUGAUUACCCUCUGUUUACUUGCCCUGUGUAAAUUCAGGUGCUGGAUCUCGUGCUGAGAACUUUACAUGGAUUAUUUCUUUUAAUCCUACACCAAUUCUAGGAGGAAGGCAUAUAGAGGAGAAUGACACAAUCUGUGCUCAUAGCUACAAAAGCAUCCAGCAUAAGCCACCGUCUUAAGAGCUGAUCUGGCACAGCAGUUGAGUGCCUGCAGCCACACAUGCCCUGUGGGACCCUGGUCCCUGGCCUUCACAAGCCCACUCAGAAUCUCUUGCCCAGGAAUUAGCAACUACAGCCAGUAUGGAGCAGCCAAUGUAAAGCUUAUGAGGUGACACAGCCAUCUUGUGCCAGCUCACGGUUCUACCUUGGCAGUCAUGUAUGGGAACCCACUCAGAUGAAAUGGGCAUCCCAAACCCUAUUUUAACGACCUUCAUUGGCUUUAUUUUCAAUUCUAGAAUCAGGUGACCCUUCACCCCAUAAAACAGAGUAGGCGGGGCUCCAUGGCAGAGCACUAGCUUUGUACGUAGUGCAAGGCCCUGGGUUUGAUCCCCAGCACUGAAGAAAAAAAUAUUUCAGAUGGUCCAAGCAAAACAGGUUGAGUUUCAUAGACAGAGAAGGGCUUGAAGAAAGCACAAAACAAUAACAUAAACAAAUUAGUUAUUUCAUUAGUUAUUUCAGAUAUUUUCUUU